rnacentral:rRNA from 1 species
GACAGAGGUGCCGAGCGUUAGGCGGAAUCACUGGGCUUAAAGCGUGUGUAGGCGGGCCGUUAAGUGUCUUGUGAAAUCCCCCGGCUCAACCGGGGAAUUGCUGGGCAUACUGGCGGUCUUGAGCGAUCUAGGGGCAGAUGGAACAAGUGGUGGAGCGGUGAAAUGCGUAGAUAUCGUCUGGAACGCCGAAGGUGAAAACAGCUCGCUGGGGCUGCGCUGACGCUGAGACACGAAAGCCAGGGGAGCGAACGGG